CACUUCCAGACAAGGACGAUAUUUACGUGUAUUAAUCUAAAGAAACCUCGGUCGAAGAAACACUCUGGGAGAGAGAGGCACUUUGUAGAGAGAGAAAGUAGGAGACUUUGCAGAGCGAGAUUGCUCACGCAGUAGAGAGAGGGGCGAGUGCUUGAUCUUUUACUGGAUUCAAGAUCUAGAGGAGAUCACCAUCGAUUAUUGCUUCGAAUCUUCAUAGAAGGGUCAACUUAUUGGUAGAGCUAGAGAGGAGAGGGAAAGAGAAGCGUUUGAUCAUUCGUUUUACUUGGAUUCGUGAAUGAAAACCAAAACACUUCAAUUUCUUUUGGGUUUUCAUGAUUAAGUUCAAUUAGUCAAUCAGGGAACUGGGUCUUUUAUUUGGGUGUAUUUCACGUACUGGGUCUGCUUCUGAUCAAAGAAAAAGUCAAUUUUCUGAUGAGAAAAUGGAGGACAAUGCAGCAGCCUUGCAAACUGCUGUAAACUCUGUACAGGCAUUAGGGAGAGGCUUCGAUGUGAACUAUGAUACGAGGUUGCUCUACUGUAAAGGAGCAGCUGGGUCGAGGGUGGUUGAAGUUGAUGAAGAAAACACUUGGGAUCUUCCGCUGUACGAUGAUAUAGUUGUUCCCAAUGUUUCCAGGGACAUCAAGAACUCUCAGCAAUCCCAUGGUCGCCAGAUUUCUGGGGUUUGCAGUUUCCAUGAGAUGGUGGAGUAUUUUAAUCAAAAGGCUAAUCUAUCUGGAAGUUUUCCUCUAGGUAGUUUUAAUUCUGCAUUUAGUUUCACUGGUUCAAAGAAAAUAGAUGUUGUCGCCACAAAGACCCUUUCAAUGGAUGGCUUUUAUAUUCCACUUGCCAAGGUUCAGCUUAUGAAAACCCCAUUGGUGUUGCAAGAAAAUGUCAAGCAGGCGGUUCCGACUUUUUGGGACCCACCGUCCCUGGCGAGCUUUAUUGAAAAUUUUGGGACGCAUGUCAUUACAUCUGUAACUAUUGGCGGUAAAGAUGUCAUUUAUGUUAAGCAGCAUAAAUCUUCUCCUUUGUCAACCAUGGAGAUUAAAAAGUAUAUUCAGGAUAUUGGAAACCAGAGGUUUUCUGACAUGGAAAGCUAUACAAGUUCAGGUCAAAUGAAAGUCAAGGAUAAGGGUGUUGAUCCUGGCUUGUUCAACAGCCAAGGAAUAUAUCCUCAACCCACUGCUGCACCAUAUCUUACUGGGAAAGAGGAUGUGACAGUCAUCUUCCGGAGGAGGGGAGGAGAUGAUUUGGAACAAAACCAUACCCGAUGGGCAAGAACUGUCCGGUCUUCCCCAGAUGUCAUUGGGAUGAGUUUUUCCCCUAUAACAGCUCUCCUUGAUGGAGUGGCAGGAAAGGAGCAUCUAACUCGUGCUAUUGGUCUCUAUCUUGAAUAUAAGCCUCAGGUUGAAGAAUUGAGAUAUUUUCUAGAGUUUCAGAUUCCUCGGAUAUGGGCCCCUGUACGUGAUAGGAUUGCUGGUCACCAAAGAAAGGAACCUGUUUGCCCAUCUUUGCAAUUUAGCAUAAUGGGGCAAAAACUUUAUGUUAGCCAAGAGCAGAUAUCAGUUGGGCGUAGGCCAGUAACAGGCUUGCGAUUAUUUCUAGAAGGAAACAAGCAGAAUCGCUUAUGUAUCCAUCUUCAACAUGUUGCAUCUCUUCCAAAGAUCCUUCAGCCAUACUGGGACACCAAUGUGGCUAUUGGUGCUCCCAAGUGGCAGGGACCUGAGGAGCAAGAUAGUCGAUGGUUUGAGCCAGUAAAAUGGAAAAAGUUCUCUCAUGUGAGUACUGCACUGGUUGAGAACCCUGAAACCUUCAUAGGCGACCUCGCUGGUGUCUACAUUGUCACUGGAGCUCAGCUUGGUGUGUGGGAUUUUGGGUCGAGAAAUGUCUUGUACAUGAAGCUUCUGUAUUCUAGGUUGCCGGGCUGUACAGUACGAAGAUCCUUGUGGGACCAUGCUCCAAAUGAUAAGUCAAAGAAAGUUGUGUCCACGGAUGGUAAUGGUAAUACGGAUGACUCAAGUUCAGGUUCAAGGGGAAACUUGGCUGGAAACAAGUUGGUUAAAUUUGUUGAUACAUCUGAGAUGAGCAAAGGGCCAGAAGAUCCUCCAGGUCAUUGGUUGGUUACUGGUGGGAAGCUUGGUGUGGAGAAAGGGAAAAUUGUCUUGAGAGUCAAAUACUCCUUGCUAAAUUACUGAGUUAUCUAUAUGGUUUUGUAUGAAUGAUGUGCAGUGCUGUCUUUUGUUAGGUGGUUUUGUAAAUUCACUUUUGGUGGCUGGAAUCUGUAGAACACCUCAAUGUCUAUUCCCCAAAGGACCAAGAAAUUUUUGGUAGUUCCUCCCUAAAUGAUGUUUGAUAAGUCAAACCUAAAGAGGGGAGUCCUUUUUUCAUCUCCUCUACAGGAGUUUCUUUCUUCAUAACGUUUCCGUUUUAUCCGAGUUACCGGCGGUGGCUUGCCCGGCUCCAGAAAUUUUGCAAAACUCAAACAGGACAAGUUGAAAUAAAACCAUUUCCAUCUUUUUAAGUUAUGGGUCCUUUUUUAAAUUUAUUUAUAUAGAAAUGGUUUGUACACGGACGUCAUGAUCACUAAUUUUGUUCCCUUCAUCCGUGUACGUCCCAUGUAUUCCGUUCGUGCAUGUAUCGGAUAUCUUUUUUCUUUCUUGAUUUUUGCAUCCUUCCCUUUCAAGGGCUGAAGAGUAAACUGCCCCUUUUCUAGUAAUAAAUAUGUGUUAGUAUUUUCGGGAAAGUAAUUCGACAAUAACUUAAGUCC